rnacentral:rRNA from 1 species
UACGUAGGGCGCAAGCGUUGUCCGGAAUUAUUGGGCGUAAAGAGCUCGUAGGCGGUUUGUCACGUCGGAUGUGAAAACUCGGGGCUUAACCCCGAGCCUGCAGUGGAUACGGGCAGACUAGAGGUAGGUAGGGGAGAAUGGAAUUCCCGGUGUAGCGGUGAAAUGCGCAGAUAUCGGGAGGAACACCGGUGGCGAAGGCGGUUCUCUGGGCCUUACCUGACGCUGAGGAGCGAAAGCGUGGGGAGCGAACAGG